rnacentral:lncRNA from 1 species
CAGACACCAACAAAUCAGCAUGUUAUCCCUAUCUCUAGGGCAAAGAAUUCAUUCCACAAAUGACAACUUCAUGGAAUCUCUGUGUGACACCUUGGUUAGCUGUGCAAGCCAGCUAUUUGAGAGACCUCCCAGUGUUCUCUGAGACGUGGAAGAAUGGAAAAGACAUGACAAGAGACCUGGAUCGUUACUAAUAAGACACUGUUCAAGAUAGCCGGUAUUCAUCACCCAACAGGCCUUCAAGGAAUGUGCACUCCAUCCACAGAUCACAAAAAUGGAACUUCAACCUCCA